UACAGAGGGUGCGAGCGUUAAUCGGAAUUACUGGGCGUAAAGCGUGCGUAGGUGGUUUGUUAAGUCAGGUGUGAAAUCCCUGGGCUCAACCUGGGAACUGCAUUUGAUACUGGCAGACUAGAGUGUGGUAGGGGGUGGUGGAAUUCCCGGUGUAGCGGUGAAAUGCGCAGAUAUCGGGAGGAACACCAAUGGCGAAGGCAGCUCGCUGGGACGGUACUGACGCUGAGACGCGAAAGCGUGGGGAGCAAACAGG
rnacentral:rRNA from 1 species